GUGGUUAUCCCUGCUGUGUUCGCUUUAUUUGUGACGAAUCAUACAGGGACAUCCAGUU
rnacentral:pre_miRNA from 1 species